rnacentral:rRNA from 1 species
AUGAACGCUAGCGGCAGGCUUAAUACAUGCAAGUCGAGGGGCAGCACGGGUAGCAAUACCUGGUGGCGACCGGCAAACGGGUGCGGAACACGUACGCAACUUUCCCAAAACUGGUGAAUAGCCCUCCGAAAGGAGGAUUAAUACACCGUAAGAUAUAGAGGUGGCAUCAUCUUUAUAUUAUAGCUCCGGCGGUUUUGGAUGGGCGUGCGCCUGAUUAGGUAGUUGGCGGGGUAACGGCCCACCAAGCCUGCGAUCAGUAACUGGUGUGAGAGCACGACCAGUCACACGGGCACUGAGACACGGGCCCGACUCCUACGGGAGGCAGCAGUAAGGAAUAUUGGUCAAUGGACGAAAGUCUGAACCAGCCAUGCCGCGUGAAGGAUGAAGGUCCUCUGGAUUGUAAACUUCUUUUAUCUGGGACGAAAAAAGGGAAUUCUUUCUCACUUGACGGUACCAGAGGAAUAAGCACCGGCUAACUCCGUGCCAGCAGCCGCGGUAAUACGGAGGGUGCAAGCGUUAUCCGGAUUCACUGGGUUUAAAGGGAGCGUAGGUGGGCAGGUAAGUCGGUGGUGAAAUCUCCGGGCUUAACCCGGAAACUGCCAUUGAUACUAUUUGUCUUGAAUUAUCUGGAGGUAAGCGGAAUAUGUCAUGUAGCGGUGAAAUGCUUAGAUAUGACAUAGAACACCGAUUGCGAAGGCAGCUUACUACGGAUAUAUUGACACUGAGGCUCGAAAGCGUGGGGAUCAAACAGGAUUAGAUACCCUGGUAGUCCACGCCCUAAACGAUGUCUACUAGUUGUUGGUGGAGUGAAAUC